rnacentral:rRNA from 1 species
GCCAGACUCCUACGGGAGGCAGCAGUGAGGAAUAUUGGUCAAUGGGCGGGAGCCUGAACCAGCCACGUCGCGUGAGGGAAGACGGUCCUACGGAUUGUAAACCUCUUUUGCCGGGGAGCAACGGGGUCCUUGCGAGGGCCCGAUGAGAGUACCCGGAGAAAAAGCAUCGGCUAACUCCGUGCCAGCAGCCGCGGUAAUACGGAGGAUGCGAGCGUUAUCCGGAUUUAUUGGGUUUAAAGGGUGCGUAGGCGGACGCUUAAGUCAGCGGUAAAAUUGCGGGGCUCAACCUCGUCGAGCCGUCGGAACUGGGGGCCUUGAGUGCGGCGGAGGCAUGCGGAAUGCGCGGUGUAGCGGUGAAAUGCAUAGAUAUCGCGCAGAACCCCGAUUGCGAAGGCAGCGUGCCGUGCCGCCACUGACGCUGAGGCACGAAAGCGCGGGGAUCGAACAGGAUUAGAUACCCUAGUACA